UACGUAGGGGGCAAGCGUUGUCCGGAUUUAUUGGGCGUAAAGAGCUUGUAGGCGGUUUGUCGCGUCUGCUGUGAAAAUCCGGGGCUCAACCCCGGACUUGCAGUGGGUACGGGCAGACUAGAGUGUGGUAGGGGAGACUGGAAUUCCUGGUGUAGCGGUGGAAUGCGCAGAUAUCAGGAGGAACACCGAUGGCGAAGGCAGGUCACUGGGCCGCAACUGACGCUGAGGAGCGAAAGCAUGGGGAGCGAACAGG
rnacentral:rRNA from 1 species